UACGGAAGGCAGCAGUGGGGAAUAUUGCACAAUGGGCGCAAGCCUGAUGCAGCCAUGCCGCGUGUAUGAAGAAGGCCUUCGGGUUGUAAAGUACUUUCAGUCGUGAGGAAGGUGUUAAGGUUAAUAACCUUAGCAAUUGACGUUAGCGACAGAAGAAGCACCGGCUAACUCCGUGCCAGCAGCCGCGGUAAUACGGAGGUGCGAGCGUUAAUCGGAAUUACUGGGCGUAAAGGGCACGCAGGCGGUUAAUUAAGUUGGAUGUGAAAUCCCCGGGCUUAACCUGGGAAUGGCAUUCAAGACUGGUUAGCUAGAGUCUUGUAGAGGGGGUAGAAUUCCAUGUGUAGCGGUGAAAUGCGUAGAGAUGUGGAGGAAUACCGGUGGCGAAAGGCGGCCCCUGGGACAAAGACUGACGCUCAUGUGCGAAAGCGUGGGGAGCAAAC
rnacentral:rRNA from 1 species